UACGUAGGGUGCAAGCGUUGUCCGGAAUUAUUGGGCGUAAAGAGCUCGUAGGCGGUUCGUUGCGUCGGCUGUGAAAACCCGGAGCUCAACUCCGGGCCUGCAGUCGAUACUGGCGGACUUGAGUGUUGCAGGGGAGACUGGAAUUCCUGGUGUAGCGGUGAAAUGCGCAGAUAUCAGGAGGAACACCGAUGGCGAAGGCGGCUCUCUGGGACGGUACUGACGCUGAGACGCGAAAGCGUGGGGAGCGAACAGG
rnacentral:rRNA from 1 species